rnacentral:SRP_RNA from 1 species
ACAUCGGUCUUACGCGAUGCAGCCCCGCCAAUCCCGCCAGGUCCGGAAGGAAGCAACGGUAACGGGUCGCUACAUGCGCAGUGAGUCUCCGAUGUCCG